GUUCAUGUGGCCUAGUGGUUAGAGCAUCCGCCUCGUAUACGGGAGGUCAUGGGUUUGAACCCCAACAUAGUCA